AUACUUACCUGGACGGGGUUUAUAGGCGAUCAAGAAAACCUAUGACCUAGCUCAAUAACCUUCAUUGCACUUUGAAGGGGUAUUGGUCUACCAUCUCCCCAAGUUGGGAGAGUGGACGUCAUAAUUUAUGGUAGUGGGGUACGCGCGCGACCCUAC